UACGGGGGGAGCAAGCGUUGUUCGGAUUUACUGGGCGUAAAGGGCGCGUAGGCGGCGCAACAAGUCACUUGUGAAAUCUCCGGGCUUAACUCGGAAAGGUCAAGUGAUACUGUUGUGCUAGAGUGCGGAAGGGGCAACUGGAAUUCUCGGUGUAGCGGUGAAAUGCGUAGAUAUCGAGAGGAACACCUGCGGCGAAAGCGGCUCACUGGACCACAACUGACGCUGAGGCGCGAAAGCUAGGGGAGCAAACAGG
rnacentral:rRNA from 1 species